rnacentral:misc_RNA from 1 species
AACGCACAUUGCGCCUCUUGGUAAUCCAGGAGGCAUGCCUGUCUGAGCGUCAGUACACCAUUUAAACCAUAUCUUUUUUGAUUUGGUUUAGUCAUGAAGAUUUGACUUUGCAUUUUGUAGAGUCUUCUUUGUAAAGUAUUGACUGUUUACUGAUACUAGUCUUUAGUUGUGACAAUUUGUAUUCAACUUGAAAGGCAAGUGUUAUGUAUGUCACUUGUUCAUUUUAAGGGGGCAACCCCUUUUUCUAAACAUUGACCUCAGAUCAGGUAGGGAUACCCGCUGAACUUAA